UACGAGGGGAGCAAGCGUUGUUCGGAUUUACUGGGCGUAAAGGGCGCGUAGGCGGUCGUGACAAGUCACUUGUGAAAUCUCCGGGCUUAACUCGGAACGGUCAAGUGAUACUGUCGGACUAGAGUACAGAAGGGGCAACUGGAAUUCUCGGUGUAGCGGUGAAAUGCGUAGAUAUUGGGAGGAACACCGGUGGCGAAGGCGGCUCUCUGGACCGGUACUGACGCUGAGACGCGAAAGCCAGGGGAGCAAACGGG
rnacentral:rRNA from 1 species